GACGGGCAUCCUUAAGCAUUAAGCAACCUAGAAAUCCUUUUCUCUCCGUGCCACAUUAAAAACAUGAAAUGAUAAUCAGGCAUAUUCAGCGAUGAUAAAUAAUAAGAGCUCUCUAUUUUGCACCUCAGCCAUGAAAGCUUGCUGAAUAUUACUGGCUUUCAUCCACACCAUUCUGUUUGUUGUUCAGCUUCUCUCAUCUUUGUCAAUACAAGCUAUGAUCUCCCAUUAGCAUGCGUCCGGCAUGGGGAAAUGGAUAAAGGUUGCGUACUGUUGUCACGGCAACCAAAUAAAUGGCACCCGGGGGCCAAACAAUGGCCCGAGAGCCUUUUUCUCCCUUGGCCACAUCUGCCACUCUGCAUUCACACUUACGGGAUGUUCUGCUGAUUAUUUUUUUGUGCUUCCAAGCCCCUUCAAAUACGGACAGGCGGCGAAAAAUGGGUUCACUUUGGAUAGAAGCCAACUUCUGUUUCAGUGCAUUGAACGAUUGAUUCAAGGCUUGGUACUAAAGAGCUGAUUGAAAUGGUGCUAUGAAAUGGUGCUUUGAACCGAUUGUAAGAGUUUCGUUGAUCUUGUCAAACACGUCACACUAUUUACACUUUUAGUCAGUUUGUACCAAGCGAACUAAAGGCAUGCUGUUUCGUCCCAUUGUAUACAUGUACGACAAUAAAGCCUGACUUGAA